rnacentral:misc_RNA from 1 species
GAUGAAGAACGUAGCGAAAUGCGAUACGUAAUGUGAAUUGCAGAAUUCAGUGAAUCAUCGAAUCUUUGAACGCAUAUUGCGCUCUCUGGUAUUCCGGAGAGCAUGCUUGUUUGAGUAUCAGUAAACACCUCAACUUCCAUAUCUUUUUUGAAAUGGGAGUUGGACUUGAGUGAUCCCAACGCUUUUCCUCACCGAAAAGUGGCGGGUUACUUGAAAUGCAGGUGCAGCUGGACUUUUCUCUGAGCUAUAAGCAUAUCUAUUUAGUCUGCCUAAAAAACAGAUUAUUACCUUUGCUGCAGCUAACAUAAAGGAGAUUAGUUCUUGUGCUGACUGAUGCAGGAUUCACAAAAACGGCUUCGGCCGACUUUGUAAACUCGAUCUCAAAUCAAGUAAGACUACCCGCUGAACUUAAGCAUAUCAAUAAGCCGGAGGA